UACGAAGGGGGCUAACGUUGCUCGGAAUCACUGGGCGUAAAGGGCGCGUAGGCGGCCAUUCAAGUCAGGGGUGAAAGCCUGUGGCUCAACCACAGAAUUGCCUUUGAUACUGUUUGGCUAGAGACCGGAAGAGGUAAGUGGAACUGCGAGUGUAGAGGUGAAGUUCGUAGAUAUUCGCAAGAACACCAGUGGCGAAGGCGGCUUACUGGUCCGGUUCUGACGCUGAGGUGCGAAAGCGCGGGGAGCAAACAGG
rnacentral:rRNA from 1 species